rnacentral:rRNA from 1 species
CGAAAGCGUGGGGAGCAAACAGGAUUAGAUACCCUGGUAGUCCACGCCCUAAACGAUGUCGACUGGUUGUUGGGGGUUUGACACUCUCAGUAACGAAGCUAACGCGUGAAGUCGACCGCCUGGGGAGUACGGCCGCAAGGUUAAAACUCAAAGGAAUUGACGGGGACCCGCACAAGCGGUGGAUUAUGUGGAUUAAUUCGAUGCAACGCGAAAAACCUUACCUACCCUUGACAUGUCCUGGAGGCCCCUGAGAGGGGGCUGUGCCCGAAAGGGAACGGGAACACAGGUGCUGCAUGGCUGUCGUCAGCUCGUGACGUGAGAUGUUGGGUUAAGUCCCGCAACGAGCGCAACCCUUGUCAUUAGUUGCUACAUUUGGUUGGGCACUCUAAUGAGACUGCCGGUGACAAACCGGAGGAAGGUGGGGAUGACGUCAAGUCCUCAUGGCCCUUAUGGGUAGGGCUUCACACGUAAUACAAUGGCGCGUACAGAGGGCUGCGAAGGGGCGACCUGGAGCCAAUCCCGACAAAGCGCGUCGUAGUCCGGAUUGCAGUCUGCAACUCGACUGCAUGAAGUCGGAAUCGCUAGUAAUCGCGGAUCAGCAUGUCGCGGUGAAUACGUUCCCGGGUCUUGUACACACCGCCCGUCACACCAUGGGAGUGGGUUUCACCAGAAGCCGGUCGCUGAACCCGCAAGGGGAGGCGCCGACCACGGUGAGAUUCAUGACUGGGGUGAAGUCGUAACAAGGUAACC